UAAUGUAGCUAUUUAUUGCAAAAUUGACUGGUAAUUACAAAUGGAUGUCAUCUCAAUGACUGCUUCAGUUUCCAGAAGCAAUACUCUACUUGGAGACCAACAAGUAGUUGAUUAUCGUUCUACUACUUUAGAUGUGUUUCUGUCCUGCAAUUCCAGCAUUUCAUCCUAUUCCAGUUGACUUUGAAAUUCUCAGCAUCACAACAAAGUUUAAAUGAUCUAAUAUGAAAAACAAGUGUUUUAGGAGUAGAAAUGCUUUUCUGUGUAAACCGCUUCUGAAGAUAUACUACCAUCUACAGAACAUGUCCAGAAUAUAACUUGCUGUUAGACAUUGCUGCUGGUUUUCUUCAGAUUGUCAAGAAUCCAUGUCUCGUACAAUUUCAGAGCAAGCAACAUCUUUGAACUUUAAUUUAGUGUCUCAGAAGACUGCAGCUUCAACUGAUAAGACCAAGUCUUUACAGCUGCCAGAGUGGAAUCCUGGGAUUCUCUCCCUGUUUAGGCUGGGAGCCAGGCUCCAGCGCUCUGCGCAGCAGUCAGGCCUGCAGAAAAAACUGAAGAUUGCCUAUUACUCAGUAGAGGGUUUUUUUGUAGAUCCUCAGACCAGUGUAAAAGUGUAGGGACAGAGCUUUCUGCAAAGUGUUUAUUCAUUCAAUAUGACAUAUAAAAAAGCAAAAAGACAAUAUCAUGUCUGUAUUUUUCUGCCUGGAUGUUAGAUUUCUUGGGACAUGUAGGUAACUCCCUUUGUUCCUGGUCUGGGCUAGAUGAACUGAACCCUUGCCUGAACUGCUCAGUCUUGAAUCUCCUGGGCGCUAUUUAUUUUCUUUUGAAUUCCCUCUUUUUCUGUUGGGAUAUCUUAAUUUAGUUGUAGCUAAUGUAUGCAUUUCCAUAAGUGCAUUUGUGAUAGAUUUAUUUUUCUGCUCUCAGAUUUUAGAUAAUGCUACUAAAUUAAUACAGAUGUUUUCUAUGCUCUUUAUAGAAAUCUUAUUUAUUCUUUACUGGAAAAAAGCCAUCGUUUCUUCAGGAAAAACUUAGCUUUUAAUUCUGUGUAUUAUUCUGGCACAAGAAAAGGAAGACAGAGCAUGAAUCUUAAUUCUAGAGUUGAAUUUUUUUACUACUUUAUUUCUUCUACAUAAACAGCAACAAAAAACGUGAAUCUGAAACGUUAUUGGGAGUUUCUUCCAAAAGGAAACUUAUGUAUUGAUUAAUGACUGAAUGUCUAUUCUGGAUUGUAUUUAGCAGAUGAAAGUAUUUGUAGGCAUGCUUAAUUAAAUGGUUCAUCAAAUACA